UGAUUUCUGCCCAGUGCUCUGAAUGUCAA
rnacentral:ncRNA from 2 species